GCGCUAGUAGCUCAAUUGGAUAGAGCGUCGGACUUCGGAUCCGAAGGUUGAAGGUUCGAGCCCUUCCUGGCGUGCCA
rnacentral:tRNA from 1 species